rnacentral:lncRNA from 1 species
CAUUCGUAUGAUUAGGUCAAGAGCAUGGAAUGUGUAAUGGGAAUUGCUUAUGUAUUGUCAAUGAUGGCCUUAAAUAAGUGGAUAUACUUUCAUGUAAAUAGUCAAGGCAACACAAGAGAAACUUUACUAUUGAUCUGCUAUCAAUAGAGGAAUUGCAUGUUUAGAGCGUUUCUAAGAUGAAUGGCUUCCCUGCGUGAGGUCUAGGAAGUUCACUCACUGAGUUUAAUCUCACUGUUGUUUGUUAAAAGUUUACAGACCCUAAGAAUGACUGAGCCUUUUCGCCAAAUCCAAUUCGGACUCCACAUAAAGCAUAGCCAAGAGGUCAUUAAGUAUUCGAUAGGGGAGACAGAUGCGUGUUACACGUGCUACGUCACGACCGUUUGGGUCGAUGACGGACCUUCUCAUCUAGUGGAUCAUCGUUUUGUAGCUUGGUAUUUUUUGGUAGAAGAUGAGAGACAUGGUCCCAUUCGCGGUUUUGAUGGACCUUCGAGUGUAGGAGGAUCAGGAGGAGGUGUCAACUAGGAGGCCAUGGACGUGGAUGUUCCCGAUGGGAAGAUGUCUGAUCCUGAGCUUGAUCCUGAUAUGAUCAUCGAGCCGGAGCCAUGGAUUUUGGAGCCCAUAGAUAGUUAGGUGGUAUUUGGGUUAGUAAUACUUUUU